rnacentral:rRNA from 1 species
ACCGGCGGCUCGAGUGGUGGCCGCUUUUACUGGGCUUAAAGGGUCCGUAGCUGGAUCUGUGUGUCCCUUGAGAAAUCCAUCGGCUUAACUGAUGGGCGUUCAGGGGAAACUGCAGUUCUAGGGACCGGGAGAGGUGAGAGGUACUGCCGGGGUAGGAGUGAAAUCCUGUAAUCCCGGUGGGACGACCUAUGGCGAAGGCAUCUCACCAGAACGGCUCCGACAGUGAGGGACGAAAGCUGGGGGAGCAAACCG